CUAGAUUACCUGCACCAUGUGUGUUUCCUUCCUGUUUGUCAGUUUAAAAAUGGAGUCUCCUCAUGCUCCACUUCUGUUUUCCUGCCACCAGAGACAGAGUCCGUCUCCCGACAUGAUGACCACAGCGUUCCACUGCGACAGGUCGGCCUCUCUCACCAGCUCUCGGGCGUGAUUCUGCCGCUCUGAAAAACAACACACACAGAAAAGUUUCUAAAUGAAAGUGUCACCGUGGGACGGAAAGCUGAUAUAUGGUGUUAAAUGAGGCGUCUGCCACACUGCCAAUAAGAUCGGAACAGCUAAAUUACCCAGAAGCACUUUGUCAAAUUAAUCUGGGACGGUGCAGUCUGAUGAGGUGGGACAGCACAAGACCGACAACUUUUGACUCGGAGACGGAUGUGUUUCUCAGUCUGUGUCGUCUUUCUGAAGGUGAAAGGGCAGUCAGUGCUGUGAGGUGUGAAGAAAAGUGCAACAGCCCAUCAUGACUUCAGUCACGAUUCUCUUUGUUUCUCUCGCUGAUGCUCAGUAACACUUUUAUACUGUAUAUGCAGCACCAUUCAUUCCAUACAUUCCUCCUUCAUUUUCUUUCACUUUUUAAAACAUCCAGACGUUUUAAUAUUAUUUUGUUUCUGUUGUCUCUUUGUGAGAGAAGCACACAAGGGAAGGCGGUGUAAGACAAUAUAGAUAAUACAUGAGAAUGAGGAAAACCAGGCCAUGAGGUGAUGAAGUACUGGAGGUGAAGCAGCUGCAGGUGUUUUUUUUAAUUUUAAUGUAUUAGUCCAAUGAAGUAGUGGUUUAUCAGAGUGAAUGCUCCUCUUGUUUCGUAACCACCAGACUGAUCUUUUUGUAUCUAGGCUGAGGUUCUCGGAUAGCACAGUUCACACAGCUCGAGCAACAAAACCCUUUAGACUAUCAGGCUCCUGAUGGACAGGUGACCUCUCAUAACAGCAUUACAGCAGCUUGAUCGGUUCUUGACAACUUCCAGGUCCUUGUCCUGAUUAUUCCCUGAACAGAAGAAAGUUCAGCUACAGAAAAAGUUGAUAAUUUGCUGUAAUAUCAUCAUGGUAUUAUGACCAGAAUCCGAAACUUCAGCCGUUUUGAAUUGUUUUUGAAUGCGCCAAAUACAGCAAAGACGCUUCGGCUUCUUUUUCUUCUAUUUUUUAAUAUUGUCUCAACUUCCUGCAACUGGUCCUAAAGUCAGAUCUAUUCAAAUGUUUUCACACUGCAAACAAACAAUGUAGCGGUAACACACUUUAAAGCCUUGCAAGUGGUUGCCAGUGCAAUAUUUUGUAUCCAACAUUAAACUGUCUGUAGCUGUAGCUUUGCCAAACCUGGCAAGAUAAAUUGUAAAAAAGUA